CAGCUAUUUUUCGUUUUUGAGUUAGCUUUUCCUUUAAGGUCAAGUUGAUGCAAGUUCUUUAGAGUACUUUUCUGAAUAAAAAGUUGCAGUGUAUGAUUAAAACAGCUGUUUUUGCGUUUCACAGUUUGCCUAUAUUUUCUAUUUCCUCCCAAAUGGUCUGUAAAUGGGACAGAGUUAUUAAAAGUACUCCUUAUAUGAAUUUAAAAGCACCAAGCAACAGUGUGUAUUUGCAUAAAAGCAUCGUUUUUGUGUGGUUCAUCUCUCUUGAGGCUGGUUUGGUGUGCGUGCUGUUCAUAAGGUGUCUCUCAGAACUAUUAACCAUGGAAAAAAACAUUAAGAGUUCUGUUAUUUAUCACGAGUGAAACUCGCCCACGCAGCAGCUCCCUCGCAAGUACACAGAAUUCAUAACUGCUAAUUCAAUAAAUGAUUAUACGCUUGCUAAUUGGCUUAUAAUGAAAUAUUCGGUGUGAGAGACUGAGAGCUACUUAGGGAGAAAUUAAUUGCUGACAUGUUGUUGAUAUCUAUUUUUGCUAAAAGAAAAAGUAACUUAAGACUGGGUCCUUAAACUUUAUUCAUUCGGCAGAAGAUUUGAUCAUUCAAGCCAUUCUGUUGCUUAAGGUUUGUACUGACAAUUUUUUGCUCACAACAACAUUUUUUGGUGGGUGGGUCCCACUCAGGGGGUCCUAGUCCCAGCAAUUGGCCCCGAACCAGGCCCCGGGACAGCUUUCCCGGUUGUGCCCUGCUGUUGAUGGCCCAGAUUGGGUGUUGCAAGAGCCAACUGACCAAAUGUUUGGAGAAAAUCCAAGAAUUGUAGUAUUGGCUUAUAUAUUUGGAUUGAAACGUGGAUUGCUCUGCCUCAGCUUUGGAACAAACACUCAAAUGUAGAAAUGAUUAGUGAAUUUUUUAUGGAAACUGUGCUAUUUCUGAUAUUUCAUUUGGUUUAGGAACAAUACUGUAUGUGGCACAGACCAGAAUAAAGCAUCCAUUAAGCCUGGCGAUCAUCUGAAUUGGGUCAGAACCCAGCGUGAACGGCUAAAGUCCCCAUUUGAGUCCAGCUCAGACGUUUUAACUCAUAAUCACGUUCGUUUGGCCGCUGGGCCUGCUGGAGGGUCCUCCGUUAAGACCCUGUGAGAUAAAAUACUGAGGAAUGGCAUGCGGAAGUGCUAAUCGGAUGAACGGAUUGGUGCUUGUUGGACUUCCAGCUUUGUGAAGUUAGCUGCUGUGCUAACAGGCAAAAGAAAUGCGGCCACACCUUUCGUACAGGGCCAGCAAAUGAACAAGCUGUUGGAGUAAAAUAUUACAGGAAAUGUCAGUGAAAUCAUUAAAUGAGGAACUUCUAUCAUAAAAAGCAGUUCAAAGGGAUUCCUGCAGUAGUGCCUUUAUUAAAACGUGCCCUGACAGCAUGCGGUGUCAGCAUCUGUAUCGCAGCACGGAGUUUAUGGAGAGAAUUACAGAGAGUGUGAUGCCGUUCCAAAACCUAGUGAGCUGCGUAGCUGUCUGCAGCCGGCUAAACAGAAACUUAACUAGUAGAAACGUAGGUUACAGUUAGGAUUCAUCACAGGAGGCUUGAUUUACAAUUGAUUUCAAUAGAGUAUGGUGUUAGCAUGUUGCUAAGCUAACCAUGUGGUACUCUAAUCAACAUAAACACACACAGAUUGGGUAAAGUAGUUAUUUUAUUACAUUUUAUUUUUUAUUGAACUAUUGUUAUAUCUCUAAUUUUGGUUUUCAGUGAAUUAUAUUUCUCUUAAGUUCGCCAUCUUAAUAUGCUGCCUACUUAGUGAGCUCUCUAGGGUUUGAAACAGAGUUCCUCAACAUUCUUGUCUCAUUGGGGUUUGUCUGUUGACAGAAUUGUGUGUGAGAAAUGUAAAAGAACCCAAAACCAUGACCCCAUUGACUCUUUCCAAUUGUGAGCCAUAACUUAAUUAUACUAACGCACACACACACUUACAUGCUUGCCUAAAACCAGAGGACACUCUAAAAAUCCUCAAAGGAUCAAAGGCUGCAUGCCAAUGCGAUCUCCUGUCGCGUGAACCGCAACUGAGCCCCUUAAACACAUGCAGACCGCCACCGUCGUCAACGGGGACUGGCACGCUGUUGCUCCGGAGGGAACGGCCCCCCUCUGCAGCUCACAGAAAGAGGGUGAAACAAAAGACUGGUACAAACAAAGGCUGAUGGAUGGAAAGAAAAGUAGUGAACAAGAAUAGAGAAUUAAGAAGAAUUGUGCAACCCCCUAUGAGAAAGUACUACAGAUAUAACACAAAAUAAGUCACUAAAUGUGAAAAAAAGAGAACUGUAUUAAUUAUUUACAUCACAGUACAAAACUGGUUCCCAGUGCAACUAGCAUCAAGUUUAUGCUGCAAAAAAAAUUGUUAAUAAGGUGUUAAUUAGGCGAUGAAUAUGUUUUAUUGGAGUCAACGUUUUAUAGUUGUAAGUAUUAUUUAUAUAAU
ensembl:lncRNA